rnacentral:rRNA from 1 species
UACGUAGGGGGCAAGCGUUAUCCGGAUUUACUGGGUGUAAAGGGAGCGUAGACGGCAAGGCAAGUCUGAAGUGAAAGCCCGGGGCUCAACUCCGGGACUGCUUUGGAAACUGUUUAGCUAGAGUGCAGGAGGGGCGAGUGGAAUUCCUAGUGUAGCGGUGAAAUGCGUAGAUAUUAGGAGGAACACCGGUGGCGAAGGCGGCCCGCUGGACUGUAACUGACGUUGAGGCUCGAAAGCGUGGGGAG